AGUUAAUACAACAAUACAGGGGUUUUUCGUAUCAGAGUCACGCAUGAAUGAGAAAUUGAAUUAAAGCUUCUCACCCGUUGUAACUUGCAUAUCGUAUGAAAUUUGUAUCGCAAGUCUUUACUUGUCAGUAAGUUUUUUAAAAUGUUAAAUAUACUGUUCAUACUUUUUAAAUUAGUAGUUAUACUUCAUAAAUGGCAUACUGAAGGUGAAGUUACAAAAAGUUGAGUGAAAAAAGACACCGAGUGUGAUACAAAUCAUGUAUCAAUCUGUAGAUCGGGAUGUAAAUUUUAUGGAAAAUCUGCUAAUGAUGGAUUGUGCUUCCAGUGCUAGAAAGAUGUUAAAAGAAAGCAGUGUACAUCUAACACUGAAUUCAUUGGACAUCUUAGUACAAAUGUUACUGGUGGAAUUAAUGUUGAAGCUGGUUCAUCACAGGAGAAAGUUUUAAGUUCUGCAUCACCCUCUCUAACCUUAGCUGCAUCUGUUAUUAGUCAAGAGCCAGAAAAUGCAACUUUAAAGCACCAACACAAAUGUAAUGAAAGUUGUUCCAUAAGAGCUUACUCUUCCAGUAGUGAGCGUGAAGUCCAAACAUCAGGUCGACCCAGUAAGUCAUCCAUUAAAGAUAAGAAACACGAGAGCAAAUAUCUCAUUUGGUGCAAGGAAGUUGGACUCGCAGGUUUCUCUUGUAGAUGUGGGGUGAUCUUUUUUGCAGUUUAUAUAGAUACUCAGAUGAACAUAAUUGUUUGUUUGACUAUAAAAUGAUGGGAGCUGAAGAAAUCAGAAAAAAUAAUUCUAUCAUCAUUGAAGAUAAAGUUAAAAACUACGAAGUAAAGAAUGCACUACAGUUGAAUUGGUGAAGAGGAAGAGAGAUGUGGAAUCGGUUUUUAUACAUAAAAACACCUCAUUUUGCAUUCCUAUGAAACUUGAAAAUUAUGUAUUUACAUUGAAAUACAAUGUAUUCUAUAAAGAAAACUAAUACCUAAAGCUUAGACAUCAAGAAACUUGUACUAUUGGAAAAAAAUAACAUAAAUUUGUGUAAAUGUUGUAUAUAUGCUCUUUCAUGGAAUCGAAAUAUUUGAAUUUUUUUUUUAAGUUGAGUUUAAUAACAAUUGAAUAGUUUAGAUAUUUUUGUAGUGACAGUUUGCCCUAAUGGAUCUUGAGUCAUGUGUCAUUAAGUUUUGUUAUAGUAAUUCCUGUGCAAAACAAGUUACUCAUUGUAUGUCCUGAAGUUGCAGUUUGUAGUAGUUUAUUGUAGAUUAGAAUUAUUACUUUGUAGUAGUUUAUUGUAGAUUGGAGUUAUUACUUUGUAGUAGUUUAUUGUAGAUUGGAAUUAUUACUUUGUAGUAGUUUAUUGUAGAUUGGAAUUAUUACUUUGUAGUAGUUUAUUGUAGAUUGGAAUUAUUACUUUGUAGUAG